rnacentral:lncRNA from 1 species
UAUAUGACUUUAUCAUUACCAACUGAUAACCAACAUACUAUUUUAGAUGGCAUCGUUGGUGGAGAAUUUGAGAAUGCACAUCAACAAAUUCCAUAACGUAUGGACAAGCAACAAAUAGGUGUUGCUGGUAGUUCAACAACGCAGACUUCAAUUGGAGUUCAGGAGCCUGGUUGUUCUUCUCUUGAUUUCAACUAUGUAAGAAGAGAAGAAAUGGAAGAAAUGUUCAGUAUGUAUAGGCAGCAUGUAGUGUCAGAUAUGUCUGGCUUGUGUCAUAAUCUGAAGAUAAACAUAGUUGAUGAAUUAAGAAGACAGGAAGUAGAAACUCUUCAAAAUUAGCGACAAAUGUUUGAUCAACAUUAGAAAUGGUAUGAAGAUCAACACCAGGGUUCGGGCUUCCAAUCUGGCAUGCAUUCCUAUCAUACUGCUUAAGAAACAAAAGAACAAAAUGCUUGUUAUCAAGCAUUUCUUGAUCAACAGAAAGAAAUGUUUCAACAACAAUAGAAAUGGCAUGAAGAGCAGUAUUAAGGAAUGCUUCAACAACAACAAAAAUGGCAUGAAGAUCAGUAUUUGGGAAUGCAGUCUUAUAUGAACAACAAUUUUACUUCCCUGCAGUCUUAUAUAGACAACAAUUUUGCUUCAAUGAACUCGUAAAUUGACGACAAAAACAAAAAUGUGAUGAAUCGAUCAGAUGAUUUGGAAUCAAAACUGGAAGCUAUUGCUUGUUCAUAGUUGCAUGAUGUUCCUAGUUCUAGUAGUGGCCAGAAAGCACUAUUUCAACAAAUUCAACCGGUGGGAACAUCCAUAAAAGAAAAGAAAAAUAAGAAAAUAAAGUAUUCAGAUUAUCCGUUAGAAGACUAUCUCAUGAAAAGAUAUACAACAAUAAGAAAAUAGGUGGUGCGGAAAUCAUCCAGGUAAGAAAUUUGAUUGUAUUUUAUUAAUUGUAUUACAUACAUUGAUUUAGUAUUAAUUUAAACUAAAAUAUAUACAUAUAGUGCAUAUUGGAAGAUUGUAGGAGGUGACAGUUUAUAUGGAAGAAAUACAAUAAAAACUAUAAUUGAUGCAACCAAAGAUAUCAAUAUUACGGUUAGUGAAGU